rnacentral:rRNA from 1 species
CUGGCUCAGGAUGAACGCUAGCUACAGGCUUAACACAUGCAAGUCGAGGGGCAGCGGGAUUGAAGCUUGCUUCAAUUGCCGGCGACCGGCGCACGGGUGAGUAACGCGUAUCCAACCUUCCGCUUACUCGGGGAUAGCCUUUCGAAAGAAAGAUUAAUACCCGAUGGUAUCUUAAGCACGCAUGAGAUUAAGAUUAAAGAUUUAUCGGUAAGCGAUGGGGAUGCGUUCCAUUAGGCAGUUGGCGGGGUAACGGCCCACCAAACCUACGAUGGAUAGGGGUUCUGAGAGGAAGGUCCCCCACAUUGGAACUGAGACACGGUCCAAACUCCUACGGGAGGCAGCAGUGAGGAAUAUUGGUCAAUGGGCGAGAGCCUGAACCAGCCAAGUAGCGUGAAGGAUGACGGCCCUACGGGUUGUAAACUUCUUUUGUGCGGGAAUAAAGGAGCCUACGUGUAGGCUUUUGCAUGUACCGUAACGAAUAAGCAUCGGCUAACUCCGUGCCAGCAGCCGCGGUAAUACGGAGGAUGCGAGCGUUAUCCGGAUUUAUUGGGUUUAAAGGGAGCGUAGACGGGUUUUUAAGUCAGCUGUGAAAGUUUGGGGCUCAACCUUAAAAUUGCAGUUGAAACUGGAGACCUUGAGUACGGUUGAGGCAGGCGGAAUUCGUGGUGUAGCGGUGAAAUGCUUAGAUAUCACGAAGAACCCCGAUUGCGAAGGCAGCCUGCUAAGCCGCCACUGACGUUGAGGCUCGAAAGUGCGGGUAUCAAACAGGAUUAGAUACCCUGGUAGUCCGCACGGUAAACGAUGGAUACUCGCUGUUGGCGAUAGACGGUCAGCGGCCAAGCGAAAGCGUUAAGUAUCCCACCUGGGGAGUACGCCGGCAACGGUGAAACUCAAAGGAAUUGACGGGGGCCCGCACAAGCGGAGGAACAUGUGGUUUAAUUCGAUGAUACGCGAGGAACCUUACCCGGGCUUGAACUGCAGUGGAAUUAUCCGGAAACGGAUAAGCGAGCAAUCGCCGCUGUGGAGGUGCUGCAUGGUUGUCGUCAGCUCGUGCCGUGAGGUGUCGGCUUAAGUGCCAUAACGAGCGCAACCCUUGCUGCCAGUUACUAACAGGUCAUGCUGAGGACUCUGGCAGGACUGCCAUCGUAAGAUGCGAGGAAGGUGGGGAUGACGUCAAAUCAGCACGGCCCUUACGUCCGGGGCUACACA